GAUGAACGCUGGCGGCGUGCCUAAUACAUGCAAGUCGAGCGAACGGACGAGAAGCCUGCUUUUCUGAUGUUAGCGGCGGACGGGUGAGUAACACGUGGAUAACCUACCUAUAAGACUGGGAUAACUUCGGGAAACCGGAGCUAAUACCGGAUAAUAUUUUGAACCGCAUGGUUCAAAAGUGAAAGACGGUCUUGCUGUCACUUAUAGAUGGAUCCGCGCUGCAUUAGCUAGUUGGUAAGGUAACGGCUUACCAAGGCAACGAUGCAUAGCCGACCUGAGAGGGUGAUCGGCCACACUGGAACUGAGACACGGUCCAGACUCCUACGGGAGGCAGCAGUAGGGAAUCUUCCGCAAUGGGCGAAAGCCUGACGGAGCAACGCCGCGUGAGUGAUGAAGGUCUUCGGAUCGUAAAACUCUGUUAUUAGGGAAGAACAUAUGUGUAAGUAACUGUGCACAUCUUGACGGUACCUAAUCAGAAAGCCACGGCUAACUACGUG
rnacentral:rRNA from 1 species